rnacentral:rRNA from 1 species
UACGUAGGGUGCAAGCGUUUGUCCGGAAUUAUUGGGCGUAAAGGGCUCGUAGGCGGUUUGUCGCGUCGGGAGUGAAAAUCCAGGGCUUAACUCUGGACUGGCUUCCGAUACGGGCAGACUAGAGGUAUGCAGGGGAGAACGGAAUUCCUGGUGUAGCGGUGAAAUGCGCAGAUAUCAGGAGGAACACCGGUGGCGAAGGCGGUUCUCUGGGCAUUACCUGACGCUGAGGAGCGAAAGUGUGGGGAGCGAACAGG